rnacentral:lncRNA from 1 species
CCUCAGAGCAAUGAGCAGUGACAUAGCAAACUGCUGCUGAUGUCUGAAUAACACAGGGCAUUGAGCCAGGUAAAAACUUUCCCUUUUCAGAGGACUGAAGACUUUGAUCCAUGGACAGAUUUGCUGAACCAGCUGAAACCUUCAAAGGACCAAGCUAAAUACUGCCAGACUAAUCAACUGCCAGACAGGGAACAUUUUCAUCGCCUCCUGCUCAGGCCCUGCUUCCUGGAGCAAUGUCUGCUGUUGAGGAUCCCAAAGCUAGAACCAAAGAGCUCCCCAGAGAUCCUUCCUCUAAAUGGGACUUUAAAAAUGUCCAGACAUUGAAUUAAUACAGCAAAGAGUCAAGCUGUGAGCCCAACUUCAAUAGAUUUGUCAACAGGUAAGCGCAGAAGAGGGCAGAACAAAAGCUGGAGAUCAAGUCUUUUACUUAUCCUAAGUCCCUAAAUUUCUAGUUUUGGAAAGAAGGAAGCUGUUUUUCACUCUUUAGCCCCUCUCUCCCUCUAUCCCCCUUACUCUUUUUUUCCCUUUCUUUCCGAUUGUCUAUGUUUCAGGGUACUGGCUUUUACGUGCUUCCUCCAAAAAGUAGAGAUAGGUCCAAAAAUAAACAUGAUCAGGAUAAAAACA